rnacentral:lncRNA from 10 species
CUUGGUGCCACACAGAGGCUACCGGUGCCACUGCCUGGGACAAUGGAGUUCACUCCUCUGCUGGUGCUGCCCGCCCCCACACAAGCCCCUGAAACAGCAUCCUAUCAUUUGUCACUUCAAACUGCAUACACCCUGGAUUUGUGCUCGUGCCAGAGGAAUUCAUAAUGAAUUCAGUUCCCAUUCAUGCAGGAAAGAAACUGAGAAACUAAACCUCAGGGAAGUCAGGUCAUUAGUGGCAGAACCACCUCUUGAACUCUGGUUACCAUUUGCAAAAGCCUUUUCUUGUUCCACCAGACGACGUGGGCUCUUGUUGUCGUAGGAUUUCCUGUUUGCAAGAAAAAUUUGGCUGACCCUUGUUUUAUAAGGCUCGAAGUGCUCAGACAACACUAUAGGGUAAGUGGGUAAGUGGGUAAGUGGUAUUACUCUUUUCUGCAAGUG